rnacentral:rRNA from 1 species
UACGUAGGCAGCGAGCGUUGUUCGGAAUUACUGGGCGUAAAGAGUGUGUAGGCGGUGCUCUAAGUUCGGUGUGAAAUCUCCCGGCUUAACUGGGAGGGUGCGCCGGAAACUGGAGUGCUCGAGCGUGGGAGAGGAAAGCGGAAUCCCCGGUGUAGCGGCGAAAUGCGUAGAUAUCGGGAGGAACACCUGCGGUGUAGACGGCUUUCUGGACCAUUGCUGACGCCGAGACACGAAAGCGUGGGUAGCAAACAGG